CUGUGUGUGUGUGUGCUGAGCUGACUGUGGAAGCCACAGUGCAACUGCUUUCAUGGCUGGCACAUAUCCCCUUCUCUGUCCCUGAGCACACAUGUCCGGCCCGGGUGCACAACCUUCAUACCUGCUGUAGGCUCAGAGAGGCCACUCGCUUGCAUCCCAGCUCCAAGCAACUCUCCAGGCUAAGGUAGUGGCAUGUGCUGGAGGGAUCUGCAGUGUGAUUGACAUUCCGUGGUGCUUCCUCUUUAUUUUCUUCACACAGGAGAGGAGGGCUCUGCUUUCACCAUGUCAAAGAGGAUUAAUGAUGUCGUCUCUUACCAUUGUGUUCCCCACCUGUCGUCU
rnacentral:lncRNA from 1 species